GCAUGCAUUGGGAAGAAGGGCGCAUGAGCACCAGACUUCCAAUCGGCGCCGACAACAUGGAUUUGCCUGAUGCGAGGGAGCUGUUAACGGCGGAGUUGAGAUGGCUAUUGGCGUGUGUUUGUGACGUGGCAGAAGCAAGUAAGCAGCUGUUUCCAUAGUGAAGGAUAGUUUUUUUUAUUUAUUUUUUUAUUUAUUUUUUAUUUUUUAAUGUUUGAUAUUUGGCGUCAUGGAGGGACAGUAGAGGGAUAUGCAAGAAAUGCUCAAUCAAGCGACCUCGAUAUGAAGCAAGGACAGUAUCGAGGGCGUCCCUAGUUUUCAGGCUGCAAGGAGAGAAUGGAAACAUUCAUCCAAGAUUGUAUGUAUCCGCCAACCCGAGCUAGCAGCCGGUAUAGAACAUGCAAUCAGUCAGCCAUGAAAAUUCUCGAAUUUGAAAGAUCUAGCUAACGAUCCGGUGCGGGACGAAUAAACAUUGACAUCAUGGUGGCUUUCACAGGAUCAGAGACGAUAUCUGUAUCUAUGACCCGCCGUCUCUUCUGGUCGUAAUGACUCAGAGCCAUGCCUGCCUGGGCUUUUCCCGCCUCAAAUACAUCCUCUCUAGUUGUAGGUUGUUGUGCCUUGGUUUUCAUCGCCUGUAACGCACAUACCUACUUGGACAACUCGGACUGCCAGGCGACUCGGAAUGCUUUCUAGAAGGCCAUUCCAACAAUGCUAAUUUGGUCUAUGCAGACGUCACAGCAACAAACAAUGCAGCAUGACCACUUGCUUGGUUGUUGCUUGUCCUGGUGCCCUUCCUUGCACUUUGAAUCAUUGCCACUCCUCCAUUCCUGCCUUGAUAUCGAAAUACUUGCCCACACCAUCCAGAGAACAAGUGAACUUAGAUAGGGGGUUGAACAUUUUCCUAUUUCAAAAUCUAUGACUCUCAUCAUCUUUUUUGUAUCUCAAUGAAUCAAUGAUGCGCAAAUACAACCCAUCCAUCUAUCCAUCCUUUUUCUUGUUGAUAGCGCGAUCAAUCGAUGAUCUCACGUAGCUGCACAGAGUAUGCGAACCACUCGUUUCUCCUUAUAACCCCCUUUUUUAUUGCAAGACGGGACCCUAAAGAUCAUGCAGUUCUCUCUCUUCUCAAAGGGCGAUGCCAAUUGAUAUGAUAUUUUACCUAAAAAUAAUUCCAAAUCAUCAUUUCCUUCCCUUCUUCCAUCGGUAGGAUUUACCACAGGCACUUAUACUGCGCAAAGUACGCAAAACUCAUCAACGUUACCUGCUGUACAGUACAAUCAAGCGGGCUCGCCCGCCUACAGGUCUUAAGUUUCCCAAUAGCAAAGAAAUUCUAUUAUUUUUGUUGUCCAAUUUUCCUUUCCCUUUCUUUUCUUUUUAAUCACCUCUGCUGCUAUUUCUGUUUUUAAUAAAUCUCUGUCCAGCUAUCCAGGCGAGGCGUCCUUGAAAGAAACGUGCCCUCUACAUACAUCAAUCGAGAUACGUUCUCAUCCGCUGUGGCAUGAAGUUGCCUAGGGAUAGCUGCCCAAAUUCGUGAAAUGGAGUUAUGCAUGCUUGGAUAUGAAUCCCCGGGCCCCUGUAGCGAAUGAACUAUAUUGAUGAGGACGAUGUUUCAUCCGGCAAUGCACUGUACUGUACUGUACAUACAGUGUUGAUAUAUUCGCUUUUCUUACCACGCCAGUGCCAAGUUAAGUUCUGUUUGCCGUGGCUGGAGAGGGAUAGAAAUGGACAAAUAUUGAUGUUGGAUUUCAAUGAAGAGUGAUUGGAUGUUCGUAUAGCCAUAGUGGUAUUUCUUUCUUUCUUUUUACCAACUCUAGGAAAAGUGCCAUGCAGUCGCUUAGGAGGAAACGCAGAAUCUCUCCUGGCAAAUCUACUAUUCACAGAAAACAGGAGAUACGCUCAAUUCAAUAAUGAGGUUUCUGAAGCGCUCCUUCAUUCUAAUUCCCUCUGUCCUGGAGAUCCUGAUAUCGCGAUAUCGCAAGACGUAAAAUUCAUACAUUACAUAUCGCCGCUGUUCACAAGCUCGAUAACCAACUUGCCAAACUGGGUGCCGUUCUUCAUGUCAUCGAAUAAUCCGUCAAUCGCCUUGACAUUAUCGAUUCCCUGCACAACGCGGGAAAUAAUGGGUUUUAUCUUCUGUUCGUUGACGAAAUUGAUCAUGUCCUUGAAUUCCUUGCGAGAGCCCAUAGUCGUGCCUUUGACUUCGAUGUUCUUUAGGAAGGCGGGUGUAAUGAAGGGCAU
rnacentral:sRNA from 1 species